UACGGAGGAUGCGAGCGUUAUCCGGAUUUAUUGGGUUUAAAGGGUGCGUAGGCGGGUUAUCAAGUCAGCGGUAAAAUCGUGGAGCUCAACUCCAUCCAGCCGUUGAAACUGAUGAUCUUGAGUGGACGAGAAGUAUGCGGAAUGCGUGGUGUAGCGGUGAAAUGCAUAGAUAUCACGCAGAACUCCGAUUGCGAAGGCAGCAUACCGGCGCCCGACUGACGCUGAAGCACGAAAGCGUGGGUAUCGAACAGG
rnacentral:rRNA from 1 species